GGUGCACGUUCUGCCGCCCGCGCAUCCCUCCCGCAUCCCACCCCGCCCGCGGCCGCACCCCGCCCCGCAUCACGCAAUCCAGGCGCAAUUCCCGCUCCAGCAAGGUUCUGGGAAAGGUUUCCAUCGUUGACGAAGCACCAACCUCCAUCCUUCUCCACGCUCUCCUGGAAGACUACCAUCCAUGGUUUACGGAGAAAUCGUGCCUCCCCAGUGUGCCCUUCCAUCCAUGGCGGGGGGGGGGGAUGCGGGAGGGAUGCUGCCACCGAUGAAUCGCUCAUUGCCUUCCCCGCUGAGGAGUUUGGGUGGGAGCAGGUCGCGUCCCACUCCACUGCCGCUGUGGAAGCCCGAAGCCCGAGUGGGAGGUGGUCGCCUCGAAAACCCUAGCACUCACCCCGCCUCCUGCUAUCCUCUCCUUCUACACCCGCUCCCGCAUUUCUAUUUCCACCACUGCCUCUCCCCACCGCGAGUGCGGCCACGACAACCGCUAUAGGCAAAUCUGGGGAGAAGAAGCCACCGAUCGUGAGUGCGAAGCGGGCCGACACAGUAUCUGCAGCAGUAGCGCCUGAAAUGUCGGCCUCCGGUGGCGGCUCCGCAGGUAAUCGCACGGUGGCAGAUGUGCUGAUGGGGAACGCACGGGCUGCUGCCAGCAAGACGAAGAAGGCAUCACCAUCUCUGGAGAAUCCGCAAGCAAAGACCGACCGUGCAAAGGUCGAACUGGAGGUCCAAGCGGUGCCGUCCCCAGCGAAGUCCCCCAAAUUACCAGUUGUGAUCACUCAAUUUGAUGACGCGAAGGAGAAUUCCCUAUCGCCAAAGAGGUCCUAAAUCCUAGCUGUUAAAUCUGACACCUAGCCUCCUGGUGAAGGUGUUGUCUCGCACACCGAUGGGAAGAAGGGUCACCCUCAUAGACCAAGGCUAAAUGACAAGCUUCCUAAUCAGAGGAGAAUAAUCGGACUGCUACACCCAAGAAGGUCAAAACCAUAGAUUUCCUGAAGAUAGAGGAGAAGAAUAUCACCCUAGAGCUAAAGAAGAAAGACACCAAGUUCAACCCGAUGGCAGUUCAAUAAUCUUUUGAAGAGUGCCGCGGCAGAGCCAAGAAUCAGAAGUACCCUCCCAUGGUGGGCACCGUGUUCUAACUGUUCCACUUCUCCCGGUUUGAUGGAGCACCUGACGGAGCUCGCCCACAGGUACCAAACGGUCUUCUGAUUCUUAGGCAAAAAAUCACGGAUGCAAGAACUACUCUCCAGGUAUCUUCAAGUACAACAAGCAAAUAAGAAGAAAUAUAUCAAUUUAAGCAAAAUAUGAGCUUCAUUGACACAAGGGGCCCUGAACUAGAGGCCGAAAAGAGAGUUGGGGCUGAUGGAUUUACUGAAUGGCAAGUUGGAGAAAGCUGCUACAACCCAAACUGCCUUCUCUUUUCUGUGACUUGUACAAUGUAAAUUAGACUGGCAAUUAUAAUUACUUGGAAGGAUAGUUCUGACAUCAUUACCGUAGUGCUGGUAAUGCAUGGCUAAUAACAACAUUAUUCGUUUCCAUCCCACAAGAAGGAAUAUCAAUGGUCUUCUACAAAGGCACUCCCUGCUUCCGUGGUUAUGGCAGGCGUAAUGUUGAGCGCAGGAGGAAUUCUGUCCGUGGUUGCAUCGUGAGCCAAGACCUAUCUGUUAUCAACUUGGUGAUUGUGAAGAAGGGUGAGAAUGAUCUGCCUGGUCUGACUGACACUGAGAAGCCAAGGAUGAGGGUUCCCAAGAGGGCCUCAGAAAGUUGUUCAACCUUAACAAGAAUGAUGAUGUACGCAAGUACAUGAACACAUACCGCAGGACAUUCACUACCAAGAACAGAGUUCAAGGGUUAUGUCUUCAAGAUCAUGGGUGGAUGUGACAAGCAAGGGUUCCCAAUGAAGCAAGGAGUUUUGACUUCUGGUCGUGUUCGCCUUCUGCUCCAUAUGAGCGAGAUUGGGGCUGUUGGAUUUACCGCAUGGCAAGUUGGAGAAAGCUGCUACAACCCAAACCGCCUUAUCUUUUCUGUGACUUGUACAAUGUAAAUUAGACUGGCACUUAAUUACUUGGAAGGAUAGUUCUGACAUAAUUACCGUAGUGCUGGUUUACUGCAUGGCUAAUAACAACAUUAUUCGUUUCCAUCCCACAGGAAGGAAUAUCAAUGGUCUUCUACAAAGGUCUAUCAUCUUCUCUAGAGGGUUCAUAACCACUGCGCAUUAGCUGUCUUUGAGGAGUACAAUAGGAAUGAAUGAUGCUCAAGGGUACCAAGAAGGAGAUGACCAUGACUUAGUGCUGCUGAAACAAGAAUGGAUCAAAACACAAGACAAUGCUCAAGAGUAAACUUAUUCUUGAAGAUGAAUUUGAUUGGAAUUUACCUUUGGUGGUCUCAGGUUCAGAUUAACAUGAAAGGUCCAAACCGAGAUUACUUACUAUUAGCUGACUACUUAAAUUUUCAUUUUUAUCUUUAGAAAUCAGUGAACUUUUCCUGCUGAUUUGUUCUUUUUAGUUGAUCAGUCAUGCUUUAAAUUGUAUUAGAUCAGAUUUGCAUCUAAUGCAAGUCCUACAAUUUUUUUAUUUUUCUUACCUCCCAUCUACAGCAGUGAACAUCAUUAGCCUUGAUUGAGACUUCAUAGAUGUUAUGAGUGAUCCAAUGGCUCAUGAGCGAAAUGCAAGAAAUAUCUGGAAAUUCAUUUUCAAAGUUUUGGGUGACAGAAGUUGAACCUUAGUCAUGUGUGGCCAUAGGAAGUUGGGUCACUGGCCACAUCUAUUAAUGUUCCAAUUGUGAAACUGGAAAAGGUAAAGAGAGUAGUAACAAAUGAUUUGCAUGUUGCAAUGUUAUUGCAGUGUCAUCCAAGCAUAUACAUGUCACAUCAUUGCAUUAUAAAGGGGACAAAAUCUAUCUACUUUACAUAUUUCAUUUGAAGUUCAGAAUAUUAGCUAAGCAUGAUCCCUAUGAUCCUUGCACAUCAAAUAUCAAUCCUUCAUUGUGUAUUAAAGAACCAUUCUUUUGGUUGCAGAGAAAAGUGAAGAAUAUGUGAUGAAGGGCUUUCUUGCGAUUUACAUUACCAUUCUUUAAAAUCCCUCCUUGCAUUUGCUCGUAGCUAGCAGUGUUUGGUACCUCUGUUGAUUUACCUCUUUAUCCCUCCUUGCAUCUGUUCGUAGCUAGCAGCUUGCACUAUUAUACUGUUUGGUACCUUUAUUGCUUCGAUUACGCAUAGUGGUGGUGACGACUAAGAUGCAGGAGCAUGUGGGGAGCGACAAUCGUGCAUGUGGCACGCGUUGGACUUCACGACAGAGAGCGCUAGGAGGAAAUGUUUGCAAUCUGUUUUGGAUUUGUCAAGAGCUAUCCGCCCGGUCAACAAUAAGAUGGCUUUUGUCGUGCUGCACUAGAGCAUGAGCGUCGUGUAGUGCAUUUGCGCUUCGCCACUGCCUUCAGCAAAGAGUCCAUCAUCGACGUCGAGGGCGAAAAUCUUUCUCCCCAUGGAGCCCCUUAAGGCCACCACACAACAAGUUCAUCUGUCUUGUCUCCUGAUUUGGGAUUCGUCUAUGGCUUCAAAGUAUAUCCGUUACAUGUUAGUAUUAUAUUUCCUUAGAUAUCUAGGUUGCUGAAUAUUUUUUCUAGGUAGCUAGGACGAUGAAUUAACAUGAGAUGACUAUGUUGUUUAUAUAUAUAGACUGUUGUCAGUAUAAAUUAGGUUUGCUGGUGUAGCCUAAUUCACAUGCUUUUGCAAACAUGGUGAAUGAUCAUAUUUCAAUGUAUAUGGUUAUGACUUACCUCUUUUCGUCAAAUAAUGUGAGAUAUUGAGGUGAAUAAUAAAUUAUGUGUUUC